rnacentral:rRNA from 1 species
GACGAACGCUGGCGGCGUGCCUAAUACAUGCAAGUCGAACGCAGUGGGGACGGGUUAGUAACACGUGGCUAACCUCCCAUAAGAGGGGAUAACACUUGGAUACAGCUGCUAAACUCAUACUGGUGGAUGGACUAGCGGUGCAUUAGGUAGUUGGGGGGGUAACGGCUCACCAAGGCAACGAUGCAUAGCCAGCCGGAGAGGGUGACCGGCCAAACUGGGACUGAGACACGGCCCAGACGCCUACGGGAGGCAGCAGUGGGGAAUCUUCGCCAAUGGACGAAAGUCUGACCGAGCAACGCCGCGUGAGUGAAGAAGGUUUUCGGGUCGUAAAACUCUGUUGGUAGAGAGGCGGUAUCUAACCAGAAAGCCACGGCUAACUACGUGCCAGCAGCCGCGGUAAUUC